AAUCAACGCUGGCGGCGUGCCUAACACAUGCAAGUCGAACGCGGUUACCCCGCAAGGGGUAACUGAGUGGCGAACGGGUGAGUAACACGUGGGUGACCUACCUUCGAAUGGGGGAUAACGUCCCGAAAGGGACGCUAAUACCGCAUAACAUCCUGCUUUUGAACAGGUGGAGAUCAAAACCGGGGAUCGCAAGACCUGGUGUUUGAAGAGGGGCCCGCGUCCGAUUAGCUAGUUGGUNAGGUAACGGCCCACCAAGGCGACGAUCGGUAGCCGGCCUGAGAGGGCGGACGGCCACACUGGGACUGAGACACGGCCCAGACUCCUACGGAGGCAGCAGUGGGGAAUUGUUCGCAAUGGGCGCAAGCCUGACGCAGCGACGCCGCGUGAGGGAUGACGGCC
rnacentral:rRNA from 1 species